rnacentral:lncRNA from 1 species
GCUGGUAGAGCUUGUCUGUUGUAGGAGUUCAUCUAUGAUCCAUCCACUGUAGAAGUUCGGAUGGAGUUCGACUCUUGUAGGAGCUCGGAUGAAGUCCGCUUGCAAUAGAAGUUUGGGGUAGAGAUUCGGCUCUUGUAGGAGCUCGGAUGAAAUUCGGAAGGUGGUCGACCACCAUAGAAACUUGGAUGGAGUCUGGUUACUGUAGAAAAUCGACUGAUAGUGAAGCUCGAAAAUCAUUUGGAGCAACCCGGC